UGGGGGAUAUUGCACAAUGGGCGAAAGCCUGAUGCAGCGACGCCGCGUGGGGGAUGAAGGCCUUCGGGUUGUAAACUUCUUUUGCUCUGAACAAGGCAUGCUAAUGGGUGUGUUGAGUGUAGGGGUUGAUUAGCGCCGGCUAACUACGUGCCAGCAGCCGCGGUAAUACGUAGGGCGCGAGCGUUGUCCGGAAUUAUUGGGCGUAAAGGGCUUGUAGGUGGCUGGUUGCGUCUGUCGUGAAAGCUCAUGGCUUAACUGUGGGUUUGCGGUGGGUACGGGCUGGCUUGAGUGCAGUAGGGGAGGCUGGAAUUCCUGGUGUAGCGGUGGAAUGCGCAGAUAUCAGGAGGAGUACCGGUGGCGAAGGCGGGUCUCUGGGCUGUUACUGACACUGAGGAGCGAAAGCAUGGGGAGCGAACAGG
rnacentral:rRNA from 1 species